GACGAACCGUGCGAACGUUAUUCGGAAUCACUGGGCUUAAAGCGCGUGUAGGCGGCUGGUCAAGCGUGGUGUGAAAUCUCCGGGCUUAACCCGGAAACUGCAUUGAAUACUAUUCGGCUUGAGGUCUGGAGGGGGGACUGGAAUUCUCGGUGUAGCAGUGAAAUGCGUAGAUAUCGAGAGGAACACCAGUGGCGAAGGCGAGUCCCUGGACAGGUCCUGACGCUGAGGCACGAAAGCUAGGGGAGCAAACAGG
rnacentral:rRNA from 1 species